UUUGAGCAAACAAAACUGGUGAUUGUUCUGCCCAUUAUCAAGUACUAGGGGCAGGAAACUCAGAAGUCAUAUAUCAUAAAUACAAUACGUAGCCAGAGGAGACGACGAAUACGUCUGAGCUCAGCUGGUACUGAAGGCAGGAUACUCACAAGUCAUACAUCACAAGUAGGAAACCUACGUGAUAACGCUUGGUUCUUCUAAGCUAGAGGCUAUUUAUCUUCAGGGACUAAUCGACCACAUCGUUCUCCCAAUUCUCAUCUACCGAAGGCUGAAAGCUCAAAAGGCAUAAAUCAUAAUUACAGCACAAGAUCCUAUUCAAUUGCUUUGUGAGUUGAAGCUACGGUACUGAAUCCAGGAACUCAGAAGUCACACAUCACAAGUAGGAAAUAAACGUAAUUAGAGUUGAUUCGUCCGAGCUAGAGGCUAUGGUAUGUUCAUCUUGAGGAACUAAUCAGCCAUCUGUUCGAGAUCCUCAUCUGCUCCUUUGUGAAUCUGA